rnacentral:rRNA from 1 species
UCGAAAGAUGUGCUAAUACCGCAUACGACCUGAGGGUGAAAGGGGGGGAUCGCAAGACCUCUCGCUAUUGGAGCGGCCGAUGUCGGAUUAGCUAGUUGGUGGGGUAAAGGCCUACCAAGGCGACGAUCCGUAGCUGGUCUGAGAGGAUGAUCAGCCACACUGGGACUGAGACACGGCCCAGACUCCUACGGGAGGCAGCAGUGGGGAAUUUUGGACAAUGGGGGCAACCCUGAUCCAGCCAUUCCGCGUGAGUGAAGAAGGCCUUCGGGUUGUAAAGCUCUUUUAGUCGGAAAGAAAGAGUUGCAAUGAAUAAUUGUGAUUUAUGACGGUACCGACAGAAAAAGCACCGGCUAACUACGUGCCAGCCGCCGCGGUAAUAC